CCAAGACUAUGAUGUGUAGCCGGGCUGAGAGGUUGAACGGCCACAUUGGGACUGAGACACGGCCCAAACUCCUACGGGAGGCAGCAGUAGGGAAUUUUCGGCAAUGGAGGAAACUCUGACCGAGCAACGCCGCGUGAACGAUGAAGUAUUUCGGUACGUAAAGUUCUUUUAUUAGGGAAGAAUAAAUGAUGGAAAAAUCAUUCUGACGGUACCUAAUGAAUAAGCCCCGGCUAACUAUGUGCCAGCAGCCGCGGUAAUACAUAGGGGGCAAGCGUUAUCCGGAAUUAUUGGGCGUAAAGGGUGCGUAGGCGGUUAAAUAAGUUUAUGGUCUAAGUGCAAUGCUUAACAUUGUGAUGCUAUAAAAACUGUUUAGCUAGAGUAAGAUAGAGGCAAGUGGAAUUCCAUGUGUAGUGGUAAAAUGCGUAAAUAUAUGGAGGAACACCAGUAGCGAAGGCGGCUUGCUGGGUCUUUACUGACGCUGAGGCACGAAAGCGUGGGGAGCAAACAGGAUUAGAUACCCUGGUAGUCCACGCCGUAAACGAUGAGUACUAAAUGUUGGGUAAAACCAGUGUUGAAGUUAACACAUUAAGUACUCCGCCUGAGUAGUACGUACGCAAGUAUGAAACUUAAAGGAAUUGACGGGACUCCGCACAAGCGGUGGAUCAUGUUGUUUAAUUCGAAGGUACCCGAAAAACCUCACCAGGUCUUGACAUGCUUCUGCAAAGCUGUAGAAACACAGUGGAGGUUAUCAGUUGCACAGGUGGUGCAUGGUUGUCGUCAGCUCGUGUCGUGAGAUGUUGGGUUAAGUCCCGCAACGAGCGCAACCCUUAUUGUUAGUUGCCAGCACGUAAUGGUGGGGACUUUAGCAAGACUGCCAGUGAUAAAUUGGAGGAAGGUGGGGACGACGUCAAAUCAUCAUGCCCCUUAUGACCUGGGCUACAAACGUGAAAC
rnacentral:rRNA from 1 species